UACGUAGGGUGCGAGCGUUAAUCGGAAUUACUGGGCGUAAAGCGUGCGCAGGCGGUUUUGUAAGUCAGAUGUGAAAUCCCCGGGCUUAACCUGGGAAUGGCAUUUGGGACUGCAAGGCUUGAGUGCGGCAGAGGAGACUGGAAUUCCUGGUGUAGCAGUGAAAUGCGUAGAUAUCAGGAGGAACACCGAUGGCGAAGGCAAUCCCCUGGACCUGUACUGACGCUCAUGCACGAAAGCGUGGGGAGCAAACAGG
rnacentral:rRNA from 1 species